UUUUUUUUUUUUCUGAGAAUUUCAUUGACAUAUCUACUGUGUUUGUGAAGUGUAACUAGAUAUUUGAGUUAGGCAAUAGGCCAUUAAACUAGUAUUUAAAAAUGAAAAGUCACACACAUGGUUCCUGUGAUUUAAUUAAUUGCAGGUGUAGUUCUGGCUGUUCUGAAACACUAUGUAGACCAUACUGGUCCUGAACUCAGAGAUCCGUCUCCGCCUCCCUGUGUGCUGAGAUUAAAGGCAUGAAUACUAAGGCUAGGUCCUGUGAGUUCAAUGUUUGGGAAGUGGUAGGGUCCAAUGAGACAAGAUUGGAAUUAAGUGUUCCUCAUGUUUUUUCCAUGUUAGUUAAAACAUUUGCUUUUUCAAAUGUUAGGUCAGACCCUUUUCCUUGAAUGGCAGUUUCUCCUGUGGAAGCUUUUGAACCACCAGUCCUUAGUCUUUGCCAAAGUCACAGGCCCAGCAUUUGGAAAGUAGAACAGCAGACCUCAAAACCUCCAAUUUAGGAAAGACGCUGAACUACAUUUUGUCUUGCAGAUUUCAGUUUGUAGUGAGUUGGGCUCCUGUUGGGAGCUGGAGGAGGUGGGAUGGGGAAAUAGGAGUGCAGCUCCAGGUGAGCUUGUCUGUCCCGGGAGAGUACUGGAGGUUUCCCCUCUCGAUCCCAGAAGAGGUCCCCCCCUUAAUCUGUGUCCUUGGGAGGAAGCAUGAAAUUAAUUUGAAGACUGGUGACUUAGGCUUUAUGUAAAUAUAAUAACCCUCCCUCCCCCCCAAACGAGGUAUGAGGGGAAGCUUUCUGAUUUGCUUCUAAAAGUCAUUUUAAAAAGGGAUUUGCAAACAUGAUUGUAGCUUCCAAAUAAAUGACAAUUUUUAAAUCAUACUUGGGGUUUGAAUGAUGAGAAUUUUUGAGCAAAGCUUGGCCUUGUUGGCUAUUGAGUACAGUGUUCUAGAAAAGCCAUGUGGUGACUGUACUUAAUGAGGGAAGGAAACUGGAAGCACUCCUGUGAUUUGGCCUAAGAAAGGAAAUCAGUAGAAAGGGAGAGGAAGAAGGCAGUCACAGAAAGUGAUCACUCCUACUGACUGGUAAUUCAUUUUUAUUAGUGUAACAAAAAUUGAUUAUAGUCACUGAUUAUAGUAGUAACCACUUAGUAAAUAAAAUGCCAAGGGUAGUGAAAGAAUGCAUCGCAACCCUGAGUUUUAGAUACUAUGUAAAUGUUGGCUUUUAAUUGCCUGCUCUUUUUUUUUUUAAAGUGUGUCAACAGUUUUUUUCUUUUUAUUUAUUUAUUUAUUUAUUUUUAAAUAUUUAUUUAUUAUAUGGAAGUACAUUGUAGCUGUCUUCAGACACUCCAGAAGAGGGAGUCAGAUCUCGUUAUGGAUGGUUGUGAGCCACCAUGUGGUUGCUGGGAUUUGAACUCUGGACCUUCGGAAGAGCAGUCGGGUGCUCUUACCCACUGAGCCAUCUCACCAGCCCCUAAUUGCCUGCUUCUUGCUGCUGUCAUAGGUUUCUCUUGUAUUUUGCAUGCUGGGUGGAGCCUGGUGCCUGAAUUAUCUUUUACUUUCCCCAUAGGUAAUAGAAAACAAUUUAUAUAGAUUAUUUAAUGGUCUUAGAAAAGGAGGUGAGAAGCCGUUUUAAAGAACAGCUUUAGGACAGUUUAAAGAACUGUUUAGGAGUUUAUAUAGGAAAACUUAAAGCUUGAGGCUACGACUGUUCAUUUUAAUUGUUAGUAUUCCCUCUCUCUUUCUCCUGCUCAUUCAUUCAUUCAUUGAGACAGGUUGUCUCUGAAGAGCCCCUGGCUCAACCAGAAUUCACUGUAGACCAGCCUGGCCUCAAACUCAGAAACCUUCCUCCUGCCUCAUGAGUGCUGGGGAGUGUGGCAAUAUGCCCAGUUUAGUUUAGUAAUUUAACAAGUCAGUAGUCUUAAGAAAAUAGGGUUUUGUAUAUUUGUAGCCAUAUUAAUCAGGUUACCAUAGUCAAACAAAUAAGUUUUCAUACAUUUAAAACACAUGAGUAUAGAAAAGUUAAGGAAGUGGGGCAUAGCUAGGAAUUGAACUGAGGGCCUUGUACAUCCUAGGCAAGUGAUCUACCAUGGAACUAGAUCCAUCUGUAUUUUGAGACAAGGUCUCACUAAUUUACCUAGGAUAGCCUUGAACUGGCCUUGAAAUUACCACCCUCCAGUGACAGCCUCCCAAGCAGCUGAGUUUGGCCUGUUCAAAAUUGGAGGUUUUUCCCCCUAUUUUCUGGGAUCGGAGUGGUCAACAUAUGUAAUAUUUGACUCGUGUGGUGGUUCUGCUUUUGUCUUUCCUAAACUUCAUCGUGCUCAGAUUAGCUCAGUGGGGUCUAGAAUGGUGGCACACUACUUUAAACUACACUUAGAAGACAAGGCAAGAGGAUCUCAAGUUCCAGGUUAGCCUGAGUUAUGAAAUCCUAUCUGAAAACGACAAAUUAGCCAGGUGGGAUGACACAUACCUUCAGUCUCUGCACUCAGGAAGCAGAUGCAGGCAGAUGUCUGAGUUCUAAGC
rnacentral:lncRNA from 1 species